GCGACGGCGAGGGUGAGGGAAAAGGGGUAGUGGCGGCGGCGAGGGCGAGGGAAGGCGUGACGAGGGCGAGAGCGGGGGGAGGGCUAGAGCGACGGGAGAGGAGUGGGUGGCGGCUGGAGCGGCAGGAGGAGUGGGUGGCGGCGGCUGGAGCAGGGAGGGAGGGGAGGGGCGUAGAGUGCCGGUGGUGAUGCGGGAACGCGCGCUACCGCCGCCGCUCCAGCCGCGGGAGUAGCUCUUCGUGCGCCGUGACCGACGCCCCAGACCGGUCGCUGCGGCUAUAGACGACGCCGCGCUGCGGCUGCGCCAGGUUGUGCUGGCGGACGUCUAAGGCGUGCGGAUCGCUGCCUACGUGCCGUUGGCACGGGUCCAGGUGCGAGACGAGGGCGGUCAUAGCCGCUGUUGUUCUUCCGGACCUUCUGGCUUGUGACGUCCCGUGACUUCUAUUUCGAAUGUCUUUCUUUAUUUCUACCGGUACAAGAGGUUAUGAGGACCUAAAGUAAAUGUAGUUGAAGAGUUCUCUCCUCAUGAGGAAAAAUCAUCAGAGUCAAAUUUCAUUUAAUUUACUUUCCUCAUGAGGAAAAGUCAACAGAGUCAAAUUUCAUUUACUUUCCUCAUGUUUACGUAAUUUUUUUUAUACCUAAUUAAAGUGUAUAGGAGGAAACGUUUGUAUACCUAAUUAAAAGUCAUCAGAGUCAAAUUUCAUUUACUUUCGUGCGUGUGUACGCACACACACCUAAGAUGAUAUCGUCAUCAUGAGAACGAUUUAAGUCUCGAGUCACUGUUCUUAGGGACUUACAUCCAACAAUAUCCAAAACCAAUAUGUACGUGUAAACCCAGAAUUAAGGACGGAUAAAAGAGACUUUUUUGACUCUGUACAAACUCAACCGUUACUGACUCUAUUACAUCAUUGGUCAUUUUUUACAAAAUACUUCGGUUUAUUUAUUUAUACGAAAACAGACACUUGAUUAUUGUUAUAACGACCGUAAGAUACCGUUGUAAACGUCUAGAACUCCGUACACACACCGACCUUCUUUGUGAGUUCUUUAAACUGGCAUAUGAACACUAUAGUGUGAGAGUCCUGAAGUACUUACCUCACACAUGGUUGUAGCAGGUGUACGUCUUGUCCUUCGACUUCGACACUUAUAUCGACCGUUAUAAUGAUUACAACUUCGACUUCGAAGUCGAAGUCUAAGAGAACACGAAGGUUGUUAUAAGAACCGUUAUAAUGAUUACACAAUUCAACAGAUUUGUACGAAAGACGAUCGAAAUUUCAACUAGAUUUCUUGGUAAGUACGUAAAUGUGUAAGUACUAAAGGAGACGACAAACAUUAAUAAGACCAAUUGAACGAUCAUCUAUAACGGACCCUAAACAUCGACCAUCUAUAACACAGUACAGGAGAAUCUACUCAAGUAAACAACUUUUUAUAAAGUGUACAUCCCAUUUAUACAGUCAUUUAGACAUUUUAUAGAAGAAAUAUCAAAAAGGAGCGUACAAGUCAUAACACAGACCGUACAAGUAUCUCGGUGAACACCUCACUCUACCCUUAUUGUUAAUAUGAAAACAUUACAAACUAGCAUAUCUAUAUACGUUUUCAACGACACGUAAUAGUGAUCAAAACUAGCGACGAAAUGAUUAUUGACACUUUCGUUAUCACACUAACACCAGAAUAACUGAACGCUCAAAUGAUAAAACUCUUGGUAGUAGAAUAAAAGAAAUUGUAUCAUCAAAUGAUAACUGCAAAUGAUAACUCCUUAUUCUCCUCUAUACUUCAAAUAUAACUUCAAAGUACGUCCAGCCCAAUGGGUUACAACCGUUUAGUUGAAAGAAAUUGUAUCAUUGUUUCCACCCGAGAGCGUGGCCGCUGAGGUCCGAGCGCCACUUCUUCUCGUUCCGGCUCUUCCUGGGGUUGUUCGGGUUCGCGGGGACUCACGGAAGAAGUAGAAGUACUUGUAGAAGUCCUUCCUCAUGUUCCUCUUCGUGGGACUGCAGUUCGUCCAGAGGCACGUCCACGAGACGAGAACGUGUGCAGUCCGUGGCAGAGACCGCGCCACCACGAAGAACUCCGCUGGCCGCACUACCACCGACACAUGCCGCCGCUGGUGUUCGACAGGCGACACUCAUCUGCAGUUGCUACGGAUGAACGAACCGACGAUGUCACUACGUACGCGGCCAGUUCGUUCGUGUGUACGUAUAUGCAUGUACAAUCCUAUCAUAUAGUCUAUAAGGGAGACAAGGACGAUAUAAGGACACAUUUACAUAAAGACUCUACUAAAACAACACAAUACAUUUGGACCUCUACACAAUACACUACACUAUACUACCUACUAAACUUAAAGUGUACCUCAAAAGGACUAAACUUAUACUUUGUUACAGCCUACGUACACACAUUGACCUAAUUUCUCCAGAGCACGGGUUUGUUAAA
rnacentral:rRNA from 1 species